UACAGAGGUGCCCAGCGUUGUUCGGAUUCACUGGGCGUAAAGGGGUGCGUAGGUGGUUAGGUAAGUCCGAUGUGAAAUCGUCAGGCUCAACCUGGAAAUGGCAUUGGAUACUAUCUAGCUUGAGGAGUGGAGGGGGGACUGGAAUUCUCGGUGUAGCAGUGAAAUGCGUAGAUAUCGAGAGGGAACACCAGUGGCGAAGGCGAGUCCCUGGACACUUCUGACACUGAGGCACGAAAGCUAGGGGGAGCAAACAGG
rnacentral:rRNA from 1 species